GCUUAACACCGAUUGUAGACCAUCUGGACCACAACCAAACAUCUGAAAUACCCAGAGGUUUCAGAAUCGCUCUACGGCCCCCGAAACAUACGUCUGGGCUUUCCGUCAGGUGGAAAUCAAUGGCUGCAACCUCGCACCAGUGAAUCGAGGUUAAUUGUAAUAUCCAUACCGCUAGGAGUAGAAAAGCACGGAGAAAACGAACCAGUGCCUACUCAGAGGGAUCGUGUUAGGAGAACGAAGGUAAUCCUAAAUUCCAUCUCGCGGAGAAACACGUAGAACGGUAUCCACGCUUAGGAAAACAUCGAGCUAUAGAUACAGACAGGAAGAAGGUGUCUUAUGCCCGGCAAGACGGUUUCCAGAUAGAAGGGAACUGCUUACGUUUCGGAACCUUGUCUCUGCGCGUCCUGCCCUCAGAAGAUAAACAGUUUUCCCUAGCGGGGCAGUAUUUCUUCGGCUGGGGUUGGGGAACAGACCAGGGCUGCCUCUUAACGGCAGCGACUUGAACAAGAGUACAAGAGAGCGAGAACUUGGAUGUCCUGAUCGAAAGGACUGAUGUCGCAGUUGGGCGAAAGAUNUUUCAGGCCCAUUCCUGACUGUUUAUCCUGCGAUUCACUAUUUAGCUUUAGAAAGAUACAUUAACAUUUAAACUGGGAACGGUAGGGCUAGGGGCAUUCUUUGCCUGCAACUCAGAAGUGCUGUAAAUAAAUCAUAGGGGCUGUAAAUGUUUUCUACA
rnacentral:lncRNA from 1 species